UGCGAAGGGGGCUAGCGUUGCUCGGAAUCACUGGGCGUAAAGGGCGCGUAGGCGGCGUUUUAAGUCGGGGGUGAAAGCCUGUGGCUCAACCACAGAAUGGCCUUCGAUACUGGGACGCUUGAGUAUGGUAGAGGUUGGUGGAACUGCGAGUGUAGAGGUGAAAUUCGUAGAUAUUCGCAAGAACACCGGUGGCGAAGGCGGCCAACUGGACCAUUACUGACGCUGAGGCGCGAAAGCGUGGGGAGCAAACAGGAUUAGAAACCCCAGUAGU
rnacentral:rRNA from 1 species